GGUAUCGCCGUUAGUCAUGUGCAAAUAUGGAUAGCUGUUUUAGCCGUCUUUAUUGACUGGUUUAUAAGAGUUAUCAGAUAUCACUUUGAUUAAAUUAGAGUGCUUAAAGCAAGUGUGUUACUUGGAUAUAAAUGCAUGGAAUGAUGGAAUAUGUUGUUAUUCUAUUUGUUGGUUUUUGAAUGAUAAAAUGAUUGAAAGGAACUGUUGGGGGCAUUCGUAUUGUUGUGAGAGAGGUGAAAUUCUUAGACCACAGCAAGACGAACUACUGCGAAAGCAUUUGCCAAGAAUGUUUUCAUUGAUCAAGAACGAAAGUUAGAGGUUCGAAGGCGAUCAGAUACCGCCCUAGUUCUAACCAUAAACUAUGCCAACUAGCAAUUUGCUUUGUAUUUUUUAUGACUAAGUGAGAGGCCACGGGAAACCUAAGUAGGGUUAUGGGGGAAGUAUGGUUGCAAAGCUGAAACUUAAAGGAAUUGACGGAAGGGCACCACCAGGAGUGGAGCCUGCGGCUUAAUUUGACUCAACACGGGAAAACUUACCUGGUCCUGACACUAGAAGGAUUGACAGAUUGAUAGCUCUUUCUUGGUUUGGUGGAUGGUGGUGCAUGGCCGUUCUUAGUUGGUGGAGUGAUUUGUCUGGUUAAUUCCGAUAACGAACGAGACUCUAGCCUAUUAAAUAAUACACGGAAUUUUAUCUUCCGCGGUAUUUCUUAGUGGGAUCAAGCG
rnacentral:rRNA from 1 species